CCGGCACAACAAUGUAAUUAAUCAUGCCGCAAAAAGGGAAAUCCCUCCUCGUAAUUCUCACGUAGCGCGCAGUUGACCACUCAUUUUAUAUCUUAUUUUUAAAUGGAAGUUUAUUUGUCUCGAUCAUCAGGGUGAUUUGUUUCCUGUUCAAUCAUCCUCUCCUUGACACGAUUAAAAGUUAUUCAACGUAGAGGCGUACGUGUAAAUAGUUCGAGUGAUUUACAAUUAGAAAUAUUGGUUCGUUCGAGCGAUAAUUAAUUAUAUAACUCACUUUGGAUAUUUAUAUAUAGCCGCGGUACGAUCAAAGGAUACACAUGAAAAUCUUACGGUGCUCGAUUUUAUUGCUGUUAGAAUUUUCCUAUAACGAAAAAAUAUUUCAGAGGAAUUUUAAAAUUCGUUGGAAUCGAUUACAUGAGAUGUGCAUUUUAUGCUUGUAAAUUGCACGAGGCAUAUUUUUCGCGUGUUUGUAUGUAGAUAAGUGAUGUAUUAUAAAAGUGGAUUCAUAGAAACGCGAGCCAAUCGAGAAUCGCUGUGGAAAAUCCGCUUUCAAUCCUGACUGCACGGCGAAGGAUGAGACGGGAACUUUAUUUAUGAAAGGUUAUUCUUGAGGAAACGCAUACGAACCGAUACGAUCGUCAUUGAGUUGUGAACGAACGACAGCCGAUAUCAAUCAGGCUAGGAAUCAGGAAUGCAUUAAUUGUAUUUUCAAUUUCCAUAUCAUUCAAAUAAAAGGUCGUUUAUACCAAUUGACCGUUUUACACAGUUCAAAAUUAUUCCAUGGUUACUAUGCAUUUCUUUAUUUGUAUUCUGUGCAGCAGGUAAACGACGAUGCAAAACAGGUUUCAAGGAGUCGUGCGUAAAUUUGUGCCAUCGACGAUUUACAAGAAAAGUUUUAUCUACUCAUGGCCUCAUUUGCAUAAUUGUACGCUCAAAGUUAACGUGAACUAGACGAAUUGGAAAAACCUAAUUGGAUUAUUUUUAUUUUUUCAAAAGGGAAGGUUUACGGAGCCGAGACUGAGGCCUGGAUAAAAGGAGAAUAAUGAUAGACGGAGCAAUUUUUUCUUAUUUCGCGCACCGAACUUUCACAGCUAAACAGGUUUUAUACUACUGUCAAAUUAAGAUCCAGCAGGUAGAUUUUCGGUUCUAUCCAUGACAAAAACUUAAAGUAUAUAAUUAACGUUAUAACGUCACGUCUCUUAUACAGGAUGUUCAUGCAGAUAUUUCUAUUGUAGUAAAAAUGACAAUGCAUAAUUUUUGAUUGAUGACUGUAAUUUGCGAAGAAUGUUGUUAUUUCUGACUUUUUCUUAUUUUAAAAUAUCGAUGAAAUAUAAUGUUAAGAAGUUA